rnacentral:pre_miRNA from 10 species
CUGAGCCAGCUUCGCGGUCCAUUAUUACUUUUGGUACGCGCUAUGCCACACUCAACUCGUACCGUGAGUAAUAAUGCACUGAGACUGGCAGCGACAAC